UACGUAGGGUGCAAGCGUUGUCCGGAUUUAUUGGGCGUAAAGAGCUCGUAGGCGGUCUGUCGCGUCGGAUGUGAAAACCCAGGGCUCAACCCUGGGCCUGCAUUCGAUACGGGCAGACUAGAGUACGGCAGGGGAGACUGGAAUUCCUGGUGUAGCGGUGGAAUGCGCAGAUAUCAGGAGGAACACCGGUGGCGAAGGCGGGUCUCUGGGCAGUAACUGACGCUGAGGAGCGAAAGAGUGGGGAGCGAACAGG
rnacentral:rRNA from 1 species